rnacentral:rRNA from 3 species
AAAUUGAAGAGUUUGAUCAUGGCUCAGAUUGAACGCUGGCGGCAGGCCUAACACAUGCAAGUCGAACGGUAACAGGAAGCAGCUUGCUGCUUCGCUGACGAGUGGCGGACGGGUGAGUAAUGUCUGGGAAACUGCCUGAUG